CCAGACGCUGAUUUGAACUCCGUUCAUAAAUCUGUCGGUUGCACUUUGCACUUUCUACACUUUCUCCUUUUCCGUCGUUUUCUUCAAGGCUGCCCGCGGCGCCGACGAUCUAUUGUUUUGGUUUGCAGGUAUAGCGAUAAAUUGUCGAAGAGUCGUUUACCUUCUCUGUCAGAUAAGGUUUUUUUAUUGCAGUUGAGAUUUAUUUUGGAUUUUCUACGGCGAUUAAUUUAUAUUGUGAGGACACCGAAAAUGAGUGUCACAUUGCAUACAGAUGUUGGUGACAUAAAGAUAGAAUUAUUUUGCGAGAUGUGCCCGAAAACGUGCGAGAAUUUUCUUGCUCUUUGUGCUAGUGGAUAUUACGACAAUUGUAUGUUCCAUCGGAACAUAAAAGGCUUUAUUGUCCAAACUGGAGAUCCCACAAAUACGGGUAAAGGUGGAACCUCUAUAUGGAACCGUAAAUUUGAAGAUGAAUUCAAAGAGGAAUUAAAGCACAACACAAGAGGUCUUGUGUCUAUGGCUAACAAUGGUCCUAAUACAAAUGGGAGUCAAUUUUUCAUAACAUAUGCGCCGCAGUCACAUUUGGACUUAAAAUAUACUCUUUUUGGAAAAGUGAUUGAUGGUUUGGAAACUUUGGAACAAUUGGAAAAAUUACCAGUAAAUCCUAAGAAUUAUAAACCACUCGCAGAAAUGAGGAUAAAUAAUGUAACUAUACAUGCUAACCCAUUAGCAGGAUAAACUUAUUUAAGCUUAUAAAAAUAAUACCAAGUAUUUUUACAUUGUAUAUACACCUAAUAUUCUCUUGUUACGUGGAUCAAAUGGACUUUGAAGAUACAUUCUUGCAGGAUAUCUUUUUUCCUUACUUCAAUCUGGUCUAUGGUCAGGAGUGAAACUUUCUGGACCGCACACUGUUGUUUUUACUCCAGUGGUUGCCAGAGCAGGUAUUAAUUCGUUCAUCGCUUCUACAUGUGCGUUGAAUACAUCCCAAUUCAGCUCGUACAAACUAAAGGAGAAGUCUUCUGGUGCCUUUUAAGUAUCACGAUCGUUAUCUCGGAUGUUUGGCAAUCCUUGUACAUCCAUUGACUCAGUGACGAUGUAUGCAUGUUUCAUCGGUAUCAACGGAAUAUCCAGUCCUACCAUUUGCGCUAUCUUCCCGGACCAUGCUCCAGCAGCGUUUAAUACGACGUUAGUUUUUAUAAUACCGUAAGGUGUUUCUACUCCACGAACGAUCUUAUGACCAUCAUUAUUCUCUGUGAGAAUUUUAGUCACUGGACAAUCCUCGAUAAUCUAGAAUUUUACUCAAUUAGAUUAGUUUUUAAUUGUAUUAUAUUUAAUUUGUAAUCAAAGCAAAACUUCAACUUUAGCUUCUGUCAUUUUGUGAAAAUUACUAUUCUUUACAUAUACAAAUAUUCAAAUUAGUAAUAUUCGUGUAGACUGAUUGAUAUGAAAGAGGAAAAUGAAAAUUACCUUGCAACCGUUUGCCUUUGCUGACUUUGUUAAUGCAUUUAUUAACAUAGCAGGAUCUAUAGUACCAUCUGCUGGAGAAUGUAUCGCAGCCAGAAGUGCCUUCUCAUUUAUCAAAGGAAAUAUUUUCUUCGUUUCGGCCGGAUCAAUCAGAUAUGCAUCGAUAUCGAAAUUCUUACAGCCAGUAAUUAAUCUCUCGUACUCGGCCACUCGCUCCUGUGAAAUACAAUGCUAUAUUUAAUCUCUGAAAAAUUGUGGACCAAGGCAUCAAUCAAAAUGCUCCAGAAAAAGCUAAGAUAAGACUCACAGAAGUGUUAGCGAUAAGAAGUCCACCAUUAUUUAUCCAUCCUGGAUUUACAUCUGUCUCUUCUUGCAAAGAUGCGUAAAGCAAUCUCGAAGUUUUCAACAGCUCCAUUUCCAUGUCGUUUACGCCGCGUAAACACCAUACAAGACCUGCUGUGUGCCAUGUUGUGCCAGAUAUAAGCUUAGAUUUAUCCAAGAGUACAGCAUUGACACCACGUUUUCCUAACUGAUAAAGCGCAUUGCAGCCGGCACUACCACCACCUAUUAUAAGAAUUCUUGUAUAUAAAUACAUUGUAUACAAAACUUGUGUUUAUAAACGUUAAUUAAAAUUAACUGUUAUU